AGCUCCAAUAGCGUAUAUUAAAGUUGUUGCGGUUAAAAGCUCGUAGUUGGAUUUCUGCUGAGGAUGACCGGUCCGCCCUCUGGGUGAGUAUCUGGCUCAGCCUUGGCAUCUUCCUGAAGAACGUAUCUGCACUUGACUGUGUGGUGCGGUACCCAGGACUUUUACUUUGAGGAAAUUAGAGUGUUUCAAGCAGGCAUACGCCUUGAAUACAUUAGCAUGGAAUAAUAAGAUAGGACCUCGGUUCUAUUUUGUUGGUUUCUAGAGCUGAGGUAAUGAUUAAUAGGGAUAGUUGGGGGCAUUCGUAUUUAACUGUCAGAGGUGAAAUUCUUGGAUUUGUUAAAGACGGACUACUGCAGCAUGCAUGCGAAAGCAUUUGCCAAGGAUGUUUUCA
rnacentral:rRNA from 1 species